rnacentral:rRNA from 1 species
AUUGAACGCUGGCGGCAGGCUUAACACAUGCAAGUCGAGCGGGGUGAUGGUGCUUGCACUAUCACUUAGCGGCGGACGGGUGAGUAAUGCUUAGGAAUCUGCCUAUUAGUGGGGGACAACAUCUCGAAAGGGAUGCUAAUACCGCAUACGUCCUACGGGAGAAAGCAGGGGAUCACUUGUGACCUUGCGCUAAUAGAUGAGCCUAAGUCGGAUUAGCUAGUUGGUGGGGUAAAGGCCUACCAAGGCGACGAUCUGUAGCGGGUCUGAGAGGAUGAUCCGCCACACUGGGACGGAGACACGGCCCAGACUCCUACGGGAGGCAGCAGUGGGGAAUAUUGGACAAUGGGGGGAACCCUGAUCCAGCCAUGCCGCGUGUGUGAAGAAGGCCUUAUGGUUGUAAAGCACUUUAAGCGAGGAGGAGGCUCUUUUGGUUAACACCCAAGAUGAGUGGACGUUACUCGCAGAAUAAGCACCGGCUAACUCUGUGCCAGCAGCCGCAGUAA